UGAGUUUGAGUAAGCUCUGGGAGUUGGUGAUGGGCAGGGAAGCCUAGCAUGCUGCAGUCCAUGGGGUCGCAAAGAGUCGAAAAUGACUGAGUGACUGAACUGAACUGAACUGAACCUACUUAGAUUCUAUUUAUCUGUCUUGGAAUUUCAGGGAGGUUUAGGGUCUUCUGUUGUGAGUUUCUCCAUCCUGGUUAUUCUCUAGCAUCCUCUUGGUGGUAUUGCACAUGGUUCCCAUGGAAGUGGGGAUUAAUUACAUCACACAGGAGGGGAGAACUGCUAGCAAACCCUCAAGGGCACCAAAUGAUUUCAGUUAUUCAUAUUCCCAGUAACUUCUUAGAAGACAUGUAUAAUUUUUGAUCAUUAAAAAUCUUUGACCUUGAUUUUGAAAUUGGGAUGUAUUUUCUACUGAUGUUCUUCUGUUUAAAAGGCAGCCCCUUGAUAGAGUAUCACUGGAUAAUAGAAUUAUUAAAGAAAGCUACUCUUUAGCACACAUCGGAAAUUCUCUGAAUUAGGAUUAAAAAAAAAAAAGAUAUACUUUCACCAUUCUGGUUCCUGCUCUCAAGUGAUGAAGAAAGCAGGCACUGUGAUUGCUUGGUUCUAGUUAUAUAAAACUCUAAGUGGACUGGUAAUCCUUUGGAAGUUCAUUAUCAGAAUCUCCUCUGUUUACCUUAAGACUUCCUGAGGGGCAAGAUGGCUUUAUUGUCCUUACUCAACUCACUCUGCCUUCUAAUCUCAGCUUAGCUUCUGAUUUCACUGCUGAGCUUUAAGCAUUCAUUUAACUUCUCAGUGUUUCUCUAGUCCCAUUGGAGAGCCUAAUCUACUUUAGAUUAGGAGGUGAAUGGAAAGAAUAAGGUAUUUUAAAGCAAGAGGACAACUUAUAAAUAACACUGUAGUGAUUAAACCUGAAAAAAAUACCGAAGUAAAUAUCAAGGUGUGAUGAAUGAUUCUAGUUUCAUUCUUGCCCAGGAGCUUUAGGGCAGGGCUGUGAAAAAGGGUCUUUCCUGUGGUAACAGCGUUGACAUAUCCAGUCACUGGCUUAGCUAGAGCUGCUCUUCCCUCUGCAGAGUCACAUGACAAGUUAUUUCCCAGCACCCUUCUCUGGUCAUUGUUGGCAGUCACAGCUUCUUUUUCUAGUGUGGACUUGGUCUAGAGUACAAAAUGUUCAGAGAAGAUUUAAGAAUUUAAUGGUGCAACAGAUGUGAAGGAGGAGGAGACCAUGGACCAAGGAAUGCAGACAGACUGUAGAUGGGCAAGGCAUGGAAAGAGACUCUGCUCUAGAGCUGCCAGGAGGAGCGGUGCUGCUGACACCUUGAGUUUGUCCCAUUUAAGACCCAUUUUGAACAUGUGGUUUAGUCGCUAAGUCAUAUCCAACUCUUGUGACCCCAUGGACUGUAGCCUGCCAGGCUCCCCUGUCCAUGGGAUUCUCCAGGCAAAAGUACUGGAAUGGGUUGCCAUUUCCUUCUCCAGGGGAUCUUUUCCACUCAGAAAUCAAACCCAGGUUUCCUGCAUUGUAGGCAGAUUCUUUACCAACUGAGCUACGAGGGAAACCCCUUGAACUUCUGACCUCUAGAACUGCAAAAUAAUAAUUUGUACUGUUUUAAGUCAUUAAGUUUGUGUUAGUUUGUUACAGCAGCAGCAGGAAACGAAGACAUACAGCACUACCAAGGCUCUCCUUGGCCCCCUUGAUCAAACUUCUCUCCUGCAAGUCACCAGAGAUCACUACUACAAAUCCAGUGAUCAUCUUACAGUGACGUAAUAUUUGUCAAAUUAAGAAAUACCACUCUCGCCUUUGACACAGUGUAGUUCUAAAACCUUUAUGUUUCAAGUCUUUGGUCUCCUUCCAGUCUAACCCCUCUAGUUCAUUCUAGACUUGCCAUUGCAGUAAGACCGUUCAAAGCUGAUCAUCACCUUUAAUUGACAUUUUUCUAUCCUUGCUGUAUAUUCAAACCAAACAGUAACAUCAGUGAAAUGCCUACAUCCACCACGGUCAGGCUGCCUUAUUUCAAGUAGAUCAACCUGACUGUUUUAUUGCUAAGCAUUCUCCAGUCUUCAUGAAAGAAGGGAAAGAAACAACAAAGUAUUCCACCAGGUUUUGCCAGGAAAACAUUAACUCCUCAGGCAUUAUCUAAAUGACUACUAAAGAUAGAACCAGAAAAGACAGAUAUAAACAGCAGGAGGAGGACUCAGUAACUGACGAAACAGUUAGAUCCUAACCUGGGGUGUCUGGGGAACUUAUUUCUCUGGAAAUCAACCUACAUCAUUCAGGUUUCUCCAAAUGAAAGGUGAAAAUAUCAGAGAACCACCCCCCCCCACCCCCUCAGAGGCCCUCUGCAUUUGAAAAUACCACCCGAUUAUUGAGCAUGUGUAUAUAAGCACCUUAUAAACUAUGAAGGACUGCACAAAUAUCAAUAAACCCAGGGCAGCAAUGCAAAUGGCAACGGGAAGCAUAUUCCAAAGCUAAGGAAUAGCAAACGUAAAUGCCGUUGUGAAAUGAAAGACCCUUUCAGGAAAGCAUAACACUGGUUUUGUACAGAAGAAAUUCUUAUAGUGUGGAAAGAAAAAAAAGGAACAAUACUGGUUCCUUUUAAGGCCAGGCCCAGCCCCACGUGGAGGCAAGUAGACCAAUGUCCAGUUUGACUACCCAUCAUCACUUUGGCCGCCACAGUGGUGGUUUCUGGAUAUUUUUAUUUACUCAUUUGAGUUGUCACACAAGGCCACUGUUACAAUGUAGGAAGUGUUAACAAAUUAACCCAGUAACAGUCAUUUCUGUAUUCUUUUGUACCAGUAUUUAGAAAAUUAACAGAGAGCAUUCCUUGAGGCCACAGACCAGGAGACUUUAAUACUGAGGCCAGAAAAUGUCCAGAGUAAGGGUGGCAGGCUGGGGGAGAGGGAUGAGAGGCAGUCGUGAGCACACUGGAUAUGGGUCAGACACGAAAAGGAGCCUGGAAGUUUGGGGAUGACCCCACUGGGUGCACCCAAUGCUGGUUUUGCUGACACCAACAUUUUCACAGAAAUGGCUCUCUUGAGAGAUUCUCCAAUUAAAUUAACAAAAUCACAGAAGAGUCUGUGUCUGACCCAGGGCAGGUUGCCUUUUUUGCUCUCUUUUUCACUCUCAUCCCACCUUUUUUGACUUUUCACGUUAAAGGAUUCAGGUUACCUGAUUGGCCGAAAGUCAAGAAGCAGGGUCAAAAGAAACCCCCAAUUGUGAAGGACCGGAACCUCCAAGAAGUUGCCUGUCCAUUUGGUUUCAUGUCUUUUCGAUGACUUCAUAAGCAACUUGGCAAGAGUUUUGCCUGGACAUCCCAUCUGCUCUCAGUGACUCUGACCACAGCACCACUUUUUGUUCAUCUCACGUUCUGUGCGCUCUUUAAAUAAACAGUGACAGGGUGAAGCGGGAGGAGUGAGCGGGAUGCCGGGGCUUGAGGAGAAGCUUGGAAACAUAAAUAAGGCACUUGGAGUUCUCAGAACAGAGUCUAUUGCUUUUCAGGAUUCACUAAAUUUUCCUUUUACUCACCAUUCCAUGAUUCAACCACACUGGAAAGAUGUUAUCUAGGGCCUUAGGGUAAACGAGUUCUCUAUCGUAGAGAAAGAGAAUCCAGAAUGACAAAAAUACAAACUGCAAAAUAGAACAGAAAAAUGACACCAUUAGGUUUAUUUUCAACCAGUGCUUCCUAAGAUAGUCAAGAAAACAUAGCAAAAUAAAAAUAGAUACCAGUUUUAAAGAUACAUUCUUAUAUAGAAUUAUUAAAUGAAGGAAAAAAUCAUUUAUCACAGAAUUACAAUGCUCAGUCUCUGGGGACUUCAGAGAGUUAGGAAUCAGUUGUCAUUGUGGCAGGCAAAGAGGAUGUAGAGAAACAGAAUUUGCAGAUCAUUAAGUCAUUUCAUUUUAACCAAUGACUUUUCUCUUCCCUAAGCUUCCCCAGGAGGGUUGAAAGCAGCCAAAUGGAGUGGCUAAGCCUUACACGUGGCUUGCCCACUCUCUAGGUAGGUGUGGCCAGGGGAAGCAGGAAGACUGGGGUCGGGGUUGGGGGUGGGGUUUGGGGGGAGAAUAAGUGACAAGCCCCCAGGAUAAUCCACCAAGCUAGUUAACUGACAGUUGGAUCUCUUUCUUGCUCAGAACUCUGGAUUGAUCUCCAUCCUCUUGUACCCCUUGGCUAUCUUUUCAAAGUCUCUGCCUUCCAUGCUACAAAAUCAAUGCAGAGAUAAAAAAACAAAAAACACAUUAAUCUUCUGAUUGUCCUAUCUUCUUAAAUUCCAAAGGCUCAAUUUCUAACUCUUAGAAAAAAUGAAUAAACUCCAUUGUUAAGCAACUUGGGCUUUAGAAGAUUUUUUGGGGUGGAGGAGAAGGUGUCCUGCAAAGUAAAAUUGGAAUGCCAGUACUUGCUCUGCCAUCUGAGAACUCAUUAGUGCUUAGAGAGUUUCAUGCUGGAUUUAAGUUUAAAGUCUCAAUACUGUAGGAAGCAGGACAAUGACAGGUGGAAGGAGAUAGUCAUUUUUCAUUACAGGCCCUGCUGGGCCGCUGGUGUGCCUGGCUUCAGUUUGUUUUCAUUCUAACUAAUGAAUGAAAUCAUGAGUGAUGUUGUAGAAAUGUGGACAGUACCAGCUACAACUGCCCCUGGCAUAUGCCUUGCUUUUUCUCGAUGUCCACUCAUUCAACAAAAUGCAUGAGGCACCACCCACUGUGGGCCCCACCCCAGGUAUUUCAGACAGACUGUCUCUCUCCUCUCAAAAUGUCAACUUUGGAAGGUUUCAUACCUUUUUUUAAAAAAUGGUUUCCACUUGCAAAAGUAACAAAUGCUUAUUGUUCAAGUGAAACCAGAUGUAUGAAAGGCAAAUUAUUCAUCUCCCUCUUUCAGUUCAGUUCAGUCGCUCAGUCGUGUCCGACUCUUUGCGACCCCAUGAAUCGCAGCACGCCAGGCCUCCCUGUUCAUCUUUAGCACCCUCCAUUCCCAUCAUCUUGCUGGAACCAAGGUUAUCUUGGAUGUAUUUUGGUUAAGAAAGGUCCUUUAGACUUCCCUGCCAGACAGUAAUAAGGAUCUCGUACCAAACAUUCACAAAGAUACAAAAGCUAAUGAUAAAUCUUGGCAGCGAUGUGUCUCAUUUCCCCAAGAACUGGGCGGUGCAAUGCAGUCCUCGGGCUAUUUAUGCAAACGCAGUUGCCAUGGAUUACAGUAAUGGGCUCUUGCUGCCUAGGAGAACCGUUGGUCCAUAUGACACGUGCAUUAUAUCACCUGUAUAUCUUUGUAACUUACUGUGGAUAUCGGAAAAGCCAGUGUGGUGAAAAGCAGGUCCCUGAAGGCUGUUACAAACUUAAUGUCUUUUUUCCCUUUGGUUCUUUUCAGCACAUCUUCCAGGCAGGCCACCCCGAAGAAAAUGGCCUGCAAGAGCUAAAUUCAUUACAACAAAUGAGCACAUUUUCAUUUCCUUUAAUUAAUACAUUCUUCACUGACGUGAAGCGCCAUCCCUCUGGGAGCAGGGUUGAUUUGAGAAGCAGGGGGCUGCUGGCUGUUCUGGUUGGGAGCCAACUGGAAGGCUGGUCUUUCAGCUCACUGGGCCCUGACCUUGCUCACUAAAAUGGAUUGUGUAAAGUUGUUUAGGGGAUAAUGAUGUGUACAGUAGUUAGUGUAAUGGACUUGAGCGAAAAUGGAAACAGAAUAGAGUCCGCUUAACAGGAGAAUGUAAUGAGAUAGAUGCCCUGGCUGCACAGAGGAGGGGAAAACCAAGUAAACAGCACCAGGGCACAGCACCAGACUCAAUGGUGGAUGUAUUCUGGCUCCUUCCUCGGAAGAAAAUAGCUUUAAAAGCCUGGUGCCGCAAUCUCAUUAGAGAAGCCAGAAUCAGGGUCAAGAGCACCAUGAAGGACCUCUGUGCUCCCCCAGGGGAGACCCACACAACAGCAUCUUGCUUGUCUGAGGAAGAAGCCAGUGCCCCCUUCUCGCCUCAUUAAGAGGGGACUGAUUCAUGCGAAUGUAUGGCAAAACCACUACAAUAUUGUAAAGUAAUUAGCCUCCAAUUAAAAUAAAUAAACUAAAAAAAAAAAAAAAAAA